rnacentral:rRNA from 1 species
UACAGGGGGUGCAAACGUUGCUCGGAAUCAUUGGGCGUAAAGCGCACGUAGGCGGUCUGUUAUGUCGGAUGUGAAAGGCCCUUGGCUCAACUGAGGAAGUGCAUCCGAAACUGGCAGGCUAGAGUACUAAAGAGGAUCGCGGAAUUCCCGGUGUAGAGGUGAAAUUCGUAGAUAUCGGGAGGAACACCGGUGGCGAAGGCGGCGAUCUGGGUAGAUACUGACGCUGAGGUGCGAAAGCGUGGGGAGCAAACAGG